rnacentral:lncRNA from 1 species
GGGUUGGGUUUCUUCAAUAGGUCUCAGCUGGAGCCUGGAAGGAGGCAGGUCCCACCCUGGGCGUGGGGACGCAGCCUCCCUCACCGCCUCCUUCAGCGCCUGAGCCCAGGCCCGACUCAGGGGGCGUGUGUACGCAGUAGGCCUCGUCCGCCAGCAGUAACAGGAGCCGGUCUGUGCUCUGGCUGCCUGAGGAGGACGUGGGGCGGCGUCCAGGCUGACAGGAGCCCCGGCCUCCUCAGGACCCACGGUGAGACUUCAGGAAGAUGUGGGGCCGCUUCCUCGCUGACAGGAGCCCCAGCCUCCUCAGGACCCGCGGACCUGCUGUCUAUGACUCAGGAAGACAUGGGGCCACGUCUGCCAUGACAGGAGUCCGGCUUCCUCAGGACCCGCUGGAGGACCCUGGAGGCGCUGUUCGGAGUCACAUCCACCUCAGCAGCAGCUACUCAGAACGACAAGGUAAGUGAAUGGGGACAAUUGAGAUAGGGUUAGGGUUUAGGGUGAGCAAUAUGUGGUUAGGGUGAAAUUAGAUGAUAUGGAUUAGUGAUCAUGGUUAUGCGUUCGAGUUCCUGGUUAGGGUGAGAGAUGGGGGAAGGGUCAAGAGUUAGGAGUAAGGUACGGAUUUGGGAUUAGGAAACUGAGUUAGGGAAUGGACAAGGGUUAUGUUACAGAUAGGUUAUAGGGUUUAGAGUGAAGGGAUGGGGGAAGGAAUACGUCUAGAGAUAGAGUGGGGGAUGGGGUUGAAGUUUAGGGUUAGGGGUUAAGACAGGGGUUUGGGCUAGGUUUAGGGUACAAUUAGGGAUUAGGGUAUGGGUUAGAGUUAGGAAACGGGUUAGGGUACGGGUUAGGGUUAGGAGUUAGGGUACGGGUUAGGGUACGGGUUAGGGUAUGGGUUAGGGUUAGGGUACGGGUUAGGGUUAGCGUUAGGGUUAGGGUACGGGUUAGGGUACGGGUUAGGGUUAGGGUAUGGGUUAGGGUUAGGGUUAGAGUACGGGUUAGGGUACGGGUUAGGGUUAGGGUAUGGGUUAGGGUACGGGUUAGGGUUAGGGUACGGGUUAGGGUUAGGGGUUAGGGUUAGGGGUUGGGGUUAGGGUUAGGGUACGGGUUAGGGUUAGGGUAC